rnacentral:lncRNA from 1 species
AUGUUCCUUAAUCCCUGCACAAGUCCGAGGCUUCACCUUACGGACCACCUCAGACUCCAGGCCCAGGUCCAGGGAAGAUCUCACUCGCUCUGCUCUGAGACCAAAGGGCACCUCAAAGCUCAGCCUGGUCCCGAAAAUCCCUGCUCAGCCGGUGCUCGGCCCCGGAGGCUGCUACACUCUGCGGUCACCCCGCUUCUACCCGGCGGGGCCAGGGCGGACAAAGGCCGCAGCUCCUUCAGGGCUGAGGCACAAGGGGAGCGGCAGCCCCUUCCAACAGAUCUAUACAUUUUGCAACCAACUAUUAAGGUGCAACUAUGCCCAAAAGAAAGGCUCCAGCUGAAGGCGAGGCAAAGGAGGAGCCAAAGAGAAGGUCAGCUAGACUAUCCGCUAAACCUGCUCCGCCUAAACCGGAGCCAAAGCCCAAAAAGGCAGCACCUAAGGUAA